GACUGGAAACAUGGGGUCAGCUAGCUUAGCUUAGCACAAAGACUGGAAACAGCUAGCCUGACUCUGUGCAAAGGUAAACCUACCAGAUAUGAGUGAUGAUGAUCUUUUUAUCCAAAAUGUCCAGAUAGAAAAUAAAAGUGUAUAUUUUAUCAGAGCUUUCUGUGAUACAAGAGGAGAAUGCAACUGUAAUAACACUUAAUAAUAACUAUUAAUAAUUCAUAUAUUCCUCUGGUUUAAUGAACUGGUUUCUUUUUAUUCUUAAAACUGAUGUGUUGUGUUCUUUAUUCAUCUGAUUUCCUUUACUAUAUAAUCAACUAAGCAUUCAAAAAUAAAAGACAUCUUGUC